rnacentral:rRNA from 1 species
GCACCACCCGCGGUAAUUCCAGCUCCAAUAGCGUAUAUUAAAGUUGUUGCGGUUAAAAAGCUCGUAGUUGGAUUUCUGUUGAACACUGCCGGUCCACCUUAUGGGUGAGUAUCUGGAUAGGGUUCGGCAUCCUCACGAUUAACGCUCUGCGCUUCAUUGCGUGGUACGGGGGUCGUGACUUUUACUUUGAGGAAAUUAGAGUGUUCACGGCAGGCAUACGCCUUGAAUAUAUUAGCAUGGAAUAAUACUAUAGGAUUUCGGUUCUAUUUUGUUGGUUUCUAGAGCUGAGAUAAUGAUUAAUAGGGACAAUUGGGGGCAUUCGUAUUGACGAGUCAGAGGGGAAAUUCUGGGAUUUCGUCACGACGAACUACUGCGAAAGCAUUUGCCAAGGAUGUUUUCAUUGAUCAAGAACGAAAGU